rnacentral:lncRNA from 1 species
CUUUCACUAUCAGCUCUUAAAGAAAGCAUAUGAGGAAUCAAACUCAGUUGUUCAUCGUAUGAACAAGAUUUCUAAGCAGGAGAACUGACAGCCGAAUGCACACAGUGCCCUUCUUGUCUUGGCAGAAAUGUUGUCAACAACGUGAUGCAGUGGAUCUGUAUACCCUUAGAGAGGAUUCCUCUGCCCAAAUAAGAACAACUGAAAGCCAGGCAUGACUGCUCUGGGUUCCCUUUGCAGCCCUGAUUUAUUGCAUCCUAAGAUCCUUCAGACCUACCAUCAAGUCGCCAGCCCCAAAACACUCUCUCUGGAAACAAAACAGCUAUAAUGUGAAGAAAAAGAAUGAGUUUCAGGCUUCCAUCCCUCACCAUAGGGCUGCUGUGAUUCACAAGAGCCCACAGUGUUGCCUACAAUAUGAUAGGGGGUUUGGGUUUUGAUUUGGCUUGGUUUUGUUUUCCACUGCAUUAAAACAGCAGUAAUAACAGUGUCAUGGGACCAGCACCAAACAGAAGAAAUCCUGGCAAGUGAAGCUGUGCUCAUGUACGGCUCAAAAGCAACAAGGAAAGGAACUGUCCAGAGACUAAAGCAUUUUCAUGUUAAGACUUAUGAUUUAAUACUUGUUUAAGUUAAACAUUAAUAUGGGUAAAGUAACUUUCAAAACAGAGCCAGGGCAGAGUUGAUCCAAAAGUCAACAGAACAAAAGAGUCUGGAGAAAAACUCUGAGCCAAACCACUGAAGCUGAUAAUGUCUGGCAAGAACAUUCACCUCGGAGAAGAGCUUGAGGACAGCAAAACUCAGUACGAGACAGAAAUCAGACCUCGCCCCUUGCUGCCUGUCUCUGCCUUUAUUCUGACCAGAUGUGAAAGACUCAUGGUCUUGGAGGCCUGGGAUAUAAGCAGGCUGCAGGGUCAAUGAUUGCUUCUGCACUAAUGGAUUCAGCCUCCAGCCUGAGGUGCAGCUGACACAAGGACAGAAACCUUCAAGUGACUCUUUUUGGCCCAAACUGUAUUUACAGAGUUGAUCUUCAGCUUGCCAGCUAUUAGUUGUACUUCAGCAAAUUGGAGAUGCUUCCUGUCAUCCAUCAGUGUACCCAUGUUCCAUUAUUCUGGGCUAACAGCCUGUAAAAUGAAACAGCAAACAGAGCUUCAUUAAAACAAAGUAAGACACAUCCUCAGCUGGCAGGUUUGGGAGAUGAGGAAUCAAGCCCCAGCGGUUGCUCUUCCAGCUUCAUCUCUGAGGAUCUACAUGAGAAACAGGAUAAAAGUCCUCUCAGCUCUACGAACCUCAGUUUAUACAUUCAUCAAGUGGGGGCACUACUACUCAAGAGUCCUCAUAAGAACAUUAUGGAAAUGAAUUGCAGUUUAUACAGCAGUCUGUGACCUUGGGUUCUUCUCUGCAGAGCUGCUUUCCAGGACUCAGCACUUCUUGUUGAACUCAGGGAGGUUCCUGUCAGCCCAACUCUCCAGCCUGUCAAGAUGGCUCUGGAUAGCACCACUCUCUGGAAAUGGACUCGGACUUCGUGUGCUUGUUCCAUGGCUUACUCAGAUAGUCAUGCAGGAGCUGGGAAACAGUAGGAAGGAGCAAGGCAUGGAGCAAAGUAGAGGAGAAAAUGUGAAGAGAAAUGAAUAGGACUGAGAAGGACUCACCCGCCCCUGCCCUUCUGUCCUCUGCAGUACGAAUUGCAUGGAGCCUACCUUGUUCAUGCUUCUAACGUCAGCUAUUGGAUUAUCUCAUCCCCAGAUGGUUUCUGAUAGCAUUAAACAUUUGCCUGCAACAGCCUGAUGCUCCUUUCCAGGAGCACUCAGCUCAGCAGACCUUCUAGCUAGAUCAGCUCCUCAAAAUAAGGUACAGGGUGCGCCUGCCACUGAUUGCACCAUUGAUGUGGCAACAAGAAUCUGCCUGCAUCUCUCUAACCAUCAUACAUUUGUCUAACCAGGCUGGGAUAUCGGUAACAAACUAGAUGUCACUAAUCAUGUAGGAUAUCAGAGCAUGAUGUCCAGGUUGGUUUAACUUCAUGAAUUCUGGGACUCGGAAGAUGAUUGAGACCUCAAAAGCCCAUUUUUGGCUCUUCCACUGGGUCUGUUGGCUUGUCUGUAGUCCUUGGAACAGGACAGCAUUCACUUCUGAGUUGGUCCCUUAUUGAUCAUUCUCAUAAUACACAGAGCACCCACAGGCUUAGUCCCACUAUCCCACCAUGCAGAGUUGGGUUGGGUAAUCUUCCCUGCCACAGCCAAAGCAUCUCAGCAGCUUUUGCACUCGAGCAGGAGCAGGAUGAACAAGAAUGAACACUGAGACUUUUACCCUCAUUUAUUUGUCCCAUAAAGGAACCCCAGCCCACAAUGGGAAAGAGUUACGUGAGCUUUUGGAAUUAAAGUUAGUUGCCUAAAUUACACAGACUGAGCCCCACCCAGACUCUCGAUAGUCAGAAGAUGGACGGCCAGUUCUGCCAGGGUAUGAAAAAUAAGAAAGCCAUCCUUAAGUGGUGCAUGGAAACAGUGAUGGAUUCAAACGAUUAGCAAAACUAAUGAACAGAAAUCUGUCAUAUUGCUGGGCAAAAUGUCACCACGGUAUGUGACUACGAAUGACUCAAUUGCUCUUUAAAGGAAUGCUUGCGUCUCUCAUGAUGCUGGGAAUCCUAAUUGACUAAUACUUUCAAAGCACUUGGAGCUGCUCAGAUGAAAGACUUCCCCGAAUGCAAAGUAUUACUACAUGUGAGGUUCAUGUCUGGAGCAAGUUUUUAAAACAAACCAUAUGAAAAGCAGAAUUAAGAGUGGAAAUGCUGAUCCAGCCAUUAUUUACUUCCCAUCGGAGAGUGGGCAGAGGGUCUCCUUUUAUGUUGUUUAUUUCAAACAAACAACUCUGGGAAUCUCCCGUGGAAAAGAAAUGCAAAAACCCAUGCCCUUUCAUGGGUAUUUUUGGUUUAUCUCCGCAUGAAUCUGAAAUUCAUCAUGUGGAGAGAAUGUGGAGAAACAUUUUUUUCCCCUGUAUACACACUCACUUUCCCACAAUGAAUAAAACCUGUUUUCUUGCAGUGUUUGUCCACUUCUUCACCCAAGGGUAACAAAAUGACCCGGAAAGCAGGAACACCCUGUCCAUGAACCCUGCUGGAAAAUAAAUAAAUAUAAAUCCAUACAUUCAUAAAUAAAGACACAGAAAAAGAGGGAUGACUCGGAAGGUUCCCAGGAAAACCAGCUGUGUCUAAUGCCGCCACCAUGGACACACGAGCCCCAGAGCUCCUAAUUCCUCAGCUAUUGCUCAGCAGUGAGUCAGAAGCUGUCACUGGGUGACUCACAGCAACUCCAGAAUGCAGCUGAGCUUGUGUCACCGGGCAGGCAGGCUUCGGGGAGUCUGAGUGGGGCAGGGGGGGCAGUGUCCCUGCUGUUACUCUGCGCUCCAGUGACAGCUGCUGGUAUGCAGGCUGCCGUGGCAGAGGUGAUGGCACAUUCAGUUCUCCAAAGGCACUUUGCUUACGACGCCGUCAUCUUUUCCACCCUCCUUCCAGCACACACGCGUACACCUCACUCUACCUGAUUUAACUCUUCAGCUACGAAGAUUUCCCUGCUUGAGAUACGGCACCUAAGGAGGAGUUGGCUUUUGGAUGAGGCCCUUCUCUGGCUGUGUGGAAGUACUGAUCUAAAUCUGCACUGAAGGAGGCAGACAGCUACCACAAGAGGACACAAAGCCUUGAUGCUGACAGAGGUUGCAUGUGGUUUUGCUGCAGGCCAGCAGUCAGCCCCAGCGAUACCAUCCAGCCCUGCCCUGCUGCCGACCUUUCCUGCCACUUCUCACUUUUCAUUUGUUUGCUUUCUUUAUCAGCCCUGGCCCUUGUCAAUACAAAGCACAGAACUGGGUGUGUGGGAGUUAGGGAGGAGGCUGCAGCCCUCUGUGAACUGUUAUUUUCGGACAGAGAUUGGCUGCAGUCAUUUAUCCCUUGCCAAAGAGUUUAAAAACGGCACGCUUGCUGAUCCAGGUGAUUUUACGAGGAGGUGGUGCCUGCCAUUUCCCAUCACAGCUACUGAUUGCUAAUCAUACAGCUGAUAUUAUACUGCGGACAGCUGAGUUAAAGGGAAUUCCCGUAAGAGCCUCAUGCCAUACAGAUAACAGUUUCUUUAAGAGCCUGAAAAUUCUCAGACAGGUGAAUUUUUCCGCUCCAGGUUGGAUGGGGCCAUGGGCAGCCUGAUCUAGUGGGUGGCAACCCUGCCCACGGCAGUGGAGUUGGAACUAGAUGGUCUUUAAGGACCCUUCAACCCAAGCCAAUCUAUGAUUCCCUGAUUCUGUGAUUCCUCUUACUACAGUUCAUGUUAGUGGCUUGGCUGUUAGGAAGAUAAUCCUUGGGAUUAGGGUGAGGACAGAGUCAUACAUAAAUAUAGCAAAUGGAAAACGCUCCACUUGUCAUUCAUAAAGCUCUCCUUCUAGGAACGGAGGGGAUGGCUGCCGGUCACAGAGAGCAGGGCAAACAUGUCUCCUCUGUGCAGUUUGGUGUUUUUUUCUGAUUUUGUAGUAGUCAGAAACUGCAAUUUUUUUGAAGUCGCCUUUUCACACAUCUAAAUGAAACCUUAAAAAUCAGUUUGGCUAAGAAGGUAGUGAGUAUGAAGUAUAAAUUAUCAUCCUUCAUUAGAAGCUUUUCACCCUGCUUUAUCCCUUCAUCGUAUAGACUCAUGUUGCCAUAGAAGAAGCAGCAAUGUCAGAACAUGACUUAAAAUAAUUCCACUGAUCAAGUGUUAAUUGCACUCUUGUACAAUCAAAGCAGACUGCUCAGGAACACGUUAAGCUUACCUUUGUGACAGCAAAUCAUUGCCAAACCCUCCUUUGGCCAAACUCUUCUGCAAACACUGUUAUAACAGUAAACAUUUUAUUGGCUCAGAGCUGGAAGGGACCAUUAAAACUCUGGUUACCAUAAAUUGUGACAUUUGUUGCACAGCAGCUGUACAUGUACAUGUUCCCAUUGCCACGGCAGAUGCAAGAGUGAAGUGGGUUAACCCAACUGUCUGUUCGCCUCAAGGUAACUCAGAUUGCUGCAGCGUAUUUUCACUUGUAAUUAAGCUGCCUCAAACUGCCCUCAGAGCAGCAGUGAUCGGGGAUGCGCAUGGAUGCUUCAGGUGGCACAAUCAUUUUACCCCUCAGUAACCUGUGUAAUGGCUUUUGUUCAUGGUCUGUGUCUUUGAUCGCCUUCUUGACUUCUUUAAUAUCACAAGGCAUUAUCAGGAUAUUUCAUCAUUUUGCGGGUUGCAAAGUCUCACUCAGCACCAUUUUUAUUAAUCCGUAGUGUUAAUGGAGUCUUUCAAUGGCAAAGAGUUUUCCAGCAAAAAUAAGGGAUCAGGACGGGCUUGUGGCCCAUUACUAGAUGCAAGGUCAAUUGUGCUCCUUCAAACGACAAUCUGACUUCUAAGGAAAAAGAUUAUGCCCAUACUUUCACCGUGUUAGAUGUAAAAAUGUACUCUUGCACUGUACUGAGAACUAUUUUUGCAUUAAAAAUGACUAAAAUGUGUAGCUGCAUCACAGCAGCAUUCUAGUCCUAUUGGAGCUAAUUGUGAAACCUGUAAUGCCUUCUAGCAGAGGAAGAUCAAAACGUAUGCAUAUAAACAAUACAGUGUUUAAAUAAAUCCAAGUUAUAAGCAUAUGUUUCACUAUAAAUUGAUUCUGUUGAUCUUAGAAAUCAAGAUGUCAAAUAAUGUGUUUUCCUCUCUGUACUGUCCAUUACUCUUCAGGUAUUUAGACACUGAGGGUCAUGCACAUGCAUUACAGGGUUAAUGCCAUGCUCAGGCCAUUAAUAGUAAGAUGGCAAGAAAACAGAAGAAAAAAAAAACACCAUUUAUGUGAGACAAGACAGGAGAAUUUAUUGACUGAAGUGUCUUUAUCUUCAUGUUCAUUUUUCAUUUUAAGAGGUGUAAGUAUAAACCAUCAUCAUUAUCAUUUAGAACCAAUCAAAGCCAGGAAUGACAUCCAAAGGUCUGAUUAAGGCUUUACUUGCAUGAUGCAGAUGGGUUUUGUCUUGAUGACAGAUAAAUCCCUCACUACUGAAGAAUAACAUCAUCAGAGCAGAAGUCAGGGAAAUAAACUGUGACAAAGAGAGCCAGUGAUAGAUGGCCAAGUGAGCAAGGGACUGACAGCAAGGACAUAUGGAUCCAGUUCUCAGCUCCAUCACUGUCUGAGUAUGUGACCAUGAACAAGAAGCCUGUGCAUAUUCCUUCAUCUGGAAUGUCCAUCAGACAAUAUGGACUUAGCACAAGAGCACGUUAGUAUUCCAGAAAAAGAUUUUGAAAUUUACCUCGUGGGACAGGCUGCAGUACUGAAGAUUUUUAAAGCCAUACAGGAAUUGGUGGUCUUGGGAUCAUCUGUGGCUAUUGGUCAGUUACCUGAUGUCUUGUAUUUGUUAGAGGUGAACAGAAGGAUUCUGUGACACUGCAUCCAGAGUUGACAUGUGAAUCCUUGUGGACUGAUGAUCAAGUAUACAAUUUCUUGUAGCUGGGAAAGGUUGGCAUGAUGCCUCAUCCUGGAAGCAUUCAAGGGUUGAUGGGGCUGUGAGACAACCUGGUCCAGAGGGAGGUGUCCCUGUCUAUAGCAGGGGGUUGGAAGUAGAUGAUCUUAAAUGUUUCUUCCAACCCAAACCAUUCUAUGAUUCUAUGAUCUUUGUAGAGCCUUCAAACCCCACUCGCUGUGUAUGCUGAAUAUAUUGAACCCAUACCUUCCUAGAAUCAUAGAACUUAUUGGGUUGAAAGGGACCUUAAAGCCCACCCAGUUCCAUGGGCUGGUUGCCCCCCACCAGCUCAGGCUGCCCAGGGUCCAUCCAACCUGGCCUUGAGCACCUCCAGGGAUGGGGCACCACAGCUCUCUGGACAGCAGUGCCAGGACCUCACCACCGAGUAAAGAAUCUCUUCCUAACAUCUAAAUCUCCCUUCUUUUGGUUUAAAGCCAUUCCCCCUUGUCCUCUCACUAUCAGACCAUGUAAAAAAGUUGGUCCCUCUCCUGCUAAUAAGCUCCUUUAAAUACAGGAAGGCUACAGUGAGAUCUUUCCGGAGCCUUCACUUCUCCAAGCUGAGCAAGCCCAGAACUUCUGCCUUGAGUAAAUGUUUAUCUAGAAUGCAUGUACUUUACCAUAUAAGCAUUACACUACAGAUACUCUCUCUCUAUACAUAUAUGCAUCUUUAUGUAUGUUUUAUUCAGCAACAUGGACAAGAAUACUACAGCAGAUGAAGAUGUUGUUGCCUUACGUAUGAGGAGCUCACCAUAACUAACUGUGGUCCAUUGGGCUCCAGAAUCUUCUACUACACUUAGUUUUUCUUGCCACUGUUUGUAGUAGGGAAAGGUCUUGAUCAAAUUCAUGGCCCCUAUUGUGGAAAGUCUUCCUGUGCCACAAUGAAUUUAAAUGAAAGUCUGCAUGAAUAGCUAGUAUACAGUCACUGCAAAAUGGAACAAACCAGCUGCACAAUGCCAAGAAUUGUCAAGGCAUGUGGUUUGGAAAACACUACAAUGUAAGUUUAUAGCUGCAGCUCAAUUCAUUUCCUGAGAGGAAAGAUAAUGCUGUAGAAGAAUAGACACUAUACGGUCCCUCUUUAUGUGGCAUUCAUCCGUUAGAAAGUUUAUUUCAUUGGCAUUCUUGUAGAUGUCAAACUGCUAAACGCAAGGCUGCAGCACAAAGAAAUUUCUUAAAUUACUGGGGGAAUAAAUUAGCUCUUAUAACAUGCUUUGAAAUUUCAAUUGCGUUCUGUAGCAAAAAGCAAGUCCCCGAGUGUGUAUAGAAUCCCAUUCCACGGACCAUUGUUUCCUUCCUGCUGCUGAAAAAUAGCUUAAAUAAAAUCCUACGAGUUUAA